UACGUAGGUGACAAGCGUUGUCCGGAUUUACUGGGCGUAAAGAGCGCGCAGGCGGUCGUUCAAGUCGAGUGUGAAAGCCCCCGGCUCAACUGGGGAGGGUCACUCGAUACUGAUCGACUCGAAGGCAGGAGAGGGUAGUGGAAUUCCCGGUGUAGUGGUGAAAUGGCGUAGAUAUCGGGAGGAACACCAGUGGCGAAGGCGACU
rnacentral:rRNA from 1 species